rnacentral:rRNA from 1 species
UGGGGAAUAUUGGACAAUGGGCGAAAGCCUGAUCCAGCCAUGCCGCGUGAGUGAUGAAGGCCCUAGGGUUGUAAAGCUCUUUCACCGGUGAAGAUAAUGACGGUAGCCGGAGAAGAAGCCCCGGCUAACUUCGUGCCAGCAGCCGCGGUAAUACGAAGGGGGCUAGCGUUGUUCGGAAUUACUGGGCGUAAAGCGCACGUAGGCGGAUUGUUAAGUCGGGGGUGAAAUCCCGGGGCUCAACCCCGGAACUGCCUUCGAUACUGGCAAUCUAGAGUCCGGAAGAUGUGAGUGGAAUUCCGGGUGUACAGGUGAAAUUCGUAGAUAGUCGGAGGAACACCAGUGGCGAAGGCGGCUCACUGGUCCGGUACUGACGCUGAGGUGCGAAAGCGUGGGGAGCAAACA